rnacentral:rRNA from 1 species
CCUACGGGUGACUGCAGUGGGGAAUAUUGGGCAAUGGGCGCAAGCCUGACCCAGCAACGCCGCGUGAAGGAAGAAGGCUUUCUGGUUGUAAACUUCUUUUCUGAGGGACGAAGAAAGUGACGGUACCUCAGGAAUAAGCCACGCCUAACUACGUGCCAGCAGCCGCUGUAAUACGUCGGUGGCAAGCGUUAUCCGGAUUUGUUGGGUGUAAAGGGCGUUUAGGGGGGAAAGCAAGUCAGAUGUGAAAACUCAGGGCUCAACCCUGAGCGUGCAGUUGAAACUGGUUGUCUUGAGUGCUGGAGAGGCAAUCGGAAUGCGGGGUGUAGCGGUGAAAUGCGUAGAUAUACGGAGGAACACCAGUGGCGAAGGCGGAUUGCUGGAGAGUAACUGACGCUGAGGCGCGAAAGCGUGGGGAGCAAACAGGAUUAGAUACCCCAGUAGUC